GCUCUCCCCACCCAGGGACUCAGCUCAUCACGAGGAGGGGAACGCAGCCGCGGCUUGGCACCCUGCCCACCCAAACGCCCUCUUCCAGCCUUCUCUGUGGUUUCCCCCAGCAGCUCCAGAGGGCCAGGUAUGGGUUUCUCCUGUCAUGCCCAUGUUUUUGCAGAGAGGGCUUUGGGGUCUUUUGGAAAGCGACUUAGCUGGAGCCCCAUGUCUGCCAGCGUGGCAGCUGUUACCACUUAGACCGGGAACAUCUGGCCUGAAGAUUGCAGUAAAAGUGACACUUGUCUACAGAGAAAAAAAUGUUGAAGUGUACGUUUUGGACAUGAAGCAAUAAGUAAUGACAUUUAAUGUUUUCAUAAAGCUGCUACAUCAUGAGCAGCAAUCAGCCCAACCUGAGAGGCCCGGGCAUCCGCCGGCGCAGGAGUACGGUGCAGCGUGCCCGCGGGCUUUGUGGAGGGCGUCUUACCCAGAACGGCAUUACCUAAUGUGGGCUUUAUCCUCUGAAGACAUAGGACAAAGGGAGGCCCUCGUAAGACCCACCCCCCUUUCAAGAUGUAGCUCACAGAAGUGGGGAGAAAGGAGCAAAAUGUAAGGCACCCUCCCCACCAGAUGUCAGGAAAUCUAGCUCCGAGUGAGUUGCAAUUGUGUCCCGGGUAAAUCGUAUUUGGAGGUUCAAGUUUCUCAUCUGUGAAAUGGAGGUGUCAAAGAUGAUAUGUUUAAGGUUGCUCCAUGAGUUUAUACUCUGUGCUUUUUGGAAUAGAGGCAAUUCUACCAUUUCCCUGCCAAUCCCAUAGGUUAAACAUGAUUCUUUCCAGACCCUGCUCUUAAAAUGCACAGUUCCCUUGAUGUGGGGAUUCUUGCAACCCCUCCAACCUCAGAAGAACAGAGAGAGUCAAACAGGGCCAGCCUGAGAGCCCUGAGCUCCCAGAGAAGAAGACAACACACGGCGAGAGAGACCAACCUGCCAACAUGGCCUUGAGGUCAAGUUGGAGUGCGGUCGGUCCUGCGAUGCUCCCAGCACAGCUGGCCCCACCACUGCACCUCAACUUCCAGCAUCCUCUGCAUUUGGUUUCAAAGAGGGGAGCUGAAGAGAAGAGGAAACCUACUUGCUAAAACUGGGUUCCUUUUUGUGGGCAGAGUGUUGAUACGAUGGUAUGCUCACUGCACUGAUUUGGCAGAGAUUGGGUUAAUCAAGUGAGUGUAUAUUGUGAUUUGUGAGAAGUCAGCCCUUUGCAUGAUUUUAACAUGCAGUCGCUAACUGUGGAUGCCUUUGGAUUCAAAAACAACAUUUCCUAUGCCAAAAGACCCAGAAACAAUGCAUUAUUAAUGCACAAAAUAUCGUGAUGAAUAUAUACGUACGUACCUUACUGUGCAGGUUCUAGAGGCACCUGAGAAGAUCCUAGGAGCCCCUUGCUAUGCCUCUUCAACUAAGAGGAGGGAAGCUGAGGCAGGUUCCAUUGCUCCUUAAAUUCCAUCAGGCCCCACCACACCCCUUAUCCCAUCUCCUAAAGCAAGCUCUGAAGCUACCAUUUCUUACGGAGAAGCUGUGCUCUGCUCACCCUUCUUGGUGGAUUCUCUGCUCGGUCAGUCUAACCACAGGAGCCAGGAGACAAAAAUGACCACGUGGAAGGGCCAGAGCUAGGUUGUUGACCAGCCCACCCUGCUCACUCUUGGGCCAAAGCAGGGUUUGUGGGUCCCUAUAGUUGGGUGAUGCAGUUUGUCUAAGCUUUAGUCUGUAGGACUUGAUUUGAUUUUGUACGUCUGGCAGCUUUUCUGGUCUCUUCUAGGAGCAGAGAUCAAAUCUUGUGUUUGGGGCUAAGACCCUGAGCAAGGCUACAGCCUGGGCCUGGGAAUCAGAAUGGUGAGCAGCACAAACAUCUGGGGGUGGAGUCUUGCUAAAAAUGCAGCUUCCAAGUCAGUAGAUCAGAGGCAGAGCUUGAGUGUCUGCAUUUCUAACAAGUUCCCAGGUGAGGUCAAGGCCACCAGCAGACCACACUUUACUGUCAAGGGAGGGUACCUUCAUUAUGACCUAGAGAUUUCGAGUCAAAGGCACCUGGGUUUAAGUCCUGGCUGCAGGCCUAUCUAACUAUGCGAUUCCCAGACAAGUGAUGGGAUAUCUCUAAGCCUGAGACAGAAAGUGAGAAUAAUCAUCAGUCAGACCUCGGGGGUUUGCUGUCAGGGUUCAAGCCCAUCGCGCAGGGGGGCAGGGGCCCCAGAGUCAGGGCGGACAAGGACCCUGGGAAGACCUGGGCUGGCUCUGCCCGCUGAGGCUUCAGCCCACUUCCAGGACCACACUCAUGAGCUUCUAUCCAGCCAUGGAGAGGCCAGGACCUCCCGUCUCUGUUAAUAAAACAGGGGUAACCAGAAUGACACCUUCUCCUGGUGGAGCCACACAACCGAGUUCUUGAAAUCACUCUGAUGGCGUUAGUGAUUGAAAUCACGGGUUCUUCCUGUCCCACCAGGAGCCCUGUGUGCACCUGACUCACAGAAAUCAGUAUAAACUCUUUUAAAGAGGUAUGUACCUUUCCUCAUCUAGACUUCAUGGGUGACUAGAACGGAUAGGACUCAUCUCGAACAUGUUACGCUGCUUUUAGAAAUGAAUAAGACAUGUAAAGUGCCAUGUUUGUUUAGAGACCUGUAAGUAGACAUGUUUUUACCAAAACAAAAUUGCAAAGUACUGUCAAAAUAAAAGAAAAACAUUUAAAAAAAUUUCUAUUGGCUAGCAACAAAUGUCAUGACCCAAGUAACGCAGGGGAAUAAUCAGCCAUCUAGCGUUUCUGUUCAGCUGUCUAGACUGCUUCUGUGUGAAUAACCAUCCAUCAGACCUAUUACAAAAUCUGGAAUGUGCAGAGUGCAUGAGCAAACAAAAGCGAUUUAGCUUGUUUCGCACCUUCCUUCUCAUUGAAGCUUCCAGUAACGCUUGUAUAAGGAACUAUGGAUUGGGGGCGGGGGGAGAUGGCCCAGCAGGUGGUGUUAGAAACACCUUUUCCUCUCUUCCCCUCUCUUUAUCCCAAAUGUGACCUUCUCCAACAAGAAGCUAAUUCCAGCGUGCCUGAAGCUCCCCUUCCCUGUGGCCUCUGGGUGACCUAACCUCCCAGGACAGCUGUGCUGGCUGGUUCUCUCCUGAGCCUCUGUAUUCCCAGGGCAGCUCUCACAUGGAAAUGACUUUUUCCUCUGUGGGCUGAGGGGAGUAUUUUUCUCAAGAGCCAGGAGGGCUCACUCACUUACAUAAAUCCUACAUGUUGGCAGCCCGGGAGCUUCCGAAAGGAUGCGAGUGGAGGGAACCCCGGCGCUGCCCCCAGAUCACUCACCAUCCCUCUGCACAACAUGGGUCCUAAAGUUUUGAAACAGAGAAGGCAUUUGAUAGUUAUCUGGUCCAGCCCACUUCUCUUAGAAGAUAAGGAGGAGGUUUACACAAAGAAACACCUACUCAAGUGAAUAAACUGCUUUAAGGAAGAGCCCUUUCUUUGACUCUGGAUAACUUUUCUCUCCUUAGAAUCCUUAGCAAAAUUCAGAUACCAGGGGGUUUGGGAGGUGGGGGCAGGAAGGCAGAAUCAUACUUAACCCACAGUUCUCGCCGAGCAUGUGCUGGAAAGACCACUGGCAUCCAAAUCACCUUCGGAUCUUUUAUAACAUCGAGACUCUUGGGGCCCCUGCAGGCCUCCUGCAUCAGAAACUUGUCUGGGGAUCUGCACUGGGAAAGAACCUCUCAGAGUGACUCUGGGACACAGGACUUUGAAAAGCACUUUCUAGAAUUCCCUUGUGGCAUGGCGGGUUAAGUCUGUGGAGUUGUCACUGCAGUGGCUCAGGUUGCUGCUGUGGAGUGGGUUUGAUCCCUGGCCCAGAACUUCUGCUCCCAAGAAGAAAAGCACUUUCUUAAACCAUUAGCCCAUUAACUGCCAGGUAUCACUCCAGCAAGGAUUAGCUGACUGACCAGCUGUUAAGCAGAGGCAGAAGGCCAGUCCUGGUCCUCCCUUUCUUCAUUGGGUGGCCUCUGUACCCGGCGGACUGACCCUGAAAUGCCCUGAGCAGCAUCCUGCUGAGUUGAUUCCAGUCUCUCAGGCACUUUGCCGCCCCUGCAGGACCUUGGGCAUUGAGAACUCAGCAUUUUCCAUUCACAUGGGCCCAGUGGCCUUCUGCAGCUCCCCCUGGCUCUCUUCUUAGAAAAUUAAGAAAGAACAAGCCCCAUGACCAUGCAUGGCUUAUCCUUUUUAAAGAUAAAUCUCCUGAAAUGUUUGUUACAGGAUUUUUGGCAAACCAAGUCCUGAUUCCAGAAAUUCCUUAUCUGGAAUACAUUGAUAUUCAUGCUCUAGUUUUAAGUUUUCUCUCCAUCUCCUUAUCGUUGCCAUGUGAUAUGCAAAUGAAUAGCCAAAUAUUCUGAAAGGACCCAACCGUUAGUCAUUUGGAAGAGAGAAAUCAUGCGGUAAAAUACAUCCCUUAUUUGUGUUUUGGAUAUGCUCAACGUGUUUCAGCGAAUGCUUUUCUCUUCAAAGGAAAGGUUCUCAUGGAAGGCCCAGGAGGUAUGAUCAGUGAAUGGAUUUGCCUGGAGUCACGCGGGAAUAAAGGGAGCUAUGGUGGGAGCUGACAUUCAGAGUGCCCACUGAGACCAGGGAGGAAGGGCACCUGGCCCUCGCUGGUGGCUGCAAGAGGGAAUAUGGCUCUUGCUCUGGGCAGACACACUGCUACACUGUGGCGUGGCUCAGAUCCAGGAAUACUGCCCCUUCUCUGUCCUGAGCCUAACUUCAUAGAAAUCAGAGAAACAUUCUUCUAGUAGAGGGAGUGGCCCUCUCCUAGCUUGCAGGUCACUCUGGAUUUGCCCAAGGGGCAAAUCUUAUGGAGCAUCCUCAAUUCCCAUUGCUCAAGCCCAUCAUACCUUCUCCUCAAAGCCUCUGUUUCAACCACACCUGGAGGGUGGAGGCCACUUCUUAGAGCUGCAUCGGGGUGCCUUCCAAGUUCCCAGGGGUGGUGGUGGCUUCACUCCCAGUCUGGCCACCAUUUGAGGGACCUAGCACUUCUUCAGUGUGACAGUCUGAAUGCGGGAAGACCCUGCCCUAAACACCAAAGAGGCAGAAGCCCCUUCCAUCCACUCGCUGUCAUCACUAGUCACUUAGUCAUCAGGGGAGGCCCCCAGGGCUCCACAUCACUUAGGGAGCACUGGUAGCCUUAGUAGUCCUUUGGAAUGUCUGAGUCAGGUCCCUUCCCUUGACCCUUCUCAUUGAAAGCUCAGGGUGAGGAACCUCAAAACCCUACCUCUUACUGGAGCAGAGAAUGAUGGGUGGCGGGGAGCAGAGCCUUCCUCUGAUGGUCUAGAGCAGGGGCAGGGAGCCUGUCUUUCCCUCAGUCCCCAGCUUGCUUUCUUUGCGCAUGAUCUCAAGCCUUUGCUCCAAGGAAUGCUGUAAGUCUUGGAACAGACUCUUGGAGCAUUUCUUUCUCUUCGAAAGAAAUUUCAAGGUCUCUUUUCUUCCUUUUCAGAAAUUGUGCAAUUUCAGCUCUAAACUUCCCAGUGCUUCUGCAAGGAGUGUUGUAAGGAAGGUGGCUGGCGGCCUGUGAGAUCCGCAUGGGGCUAAGCCCCCAAGGAUCUCCUACACCCCUCCUUGCUUUCUUUUGUUGGCGAAGAACAGACCAAAGAGCAUGUUAGCGUUUUUAGGGCUUUUCUCUUCCAGUCUCUGUGGUCUCCAUGUCUAUCUCGAAAGCUGGGGCUUUGAUGACAGAAGAGAGCAUCAAAGAUGCAGCUUUGCCCAACUUGUAAAACAGUAGAAUAGGGGUCACCUGGGCUGGGGGUGGGGUUGUGAUGGUAAGUGUACAAAUUUACAACCAGUAGGUAAGUUCUGGAUGCACAGUGUAGUGAUUAUAGUCAAAAACACUGUAUUAUAAACUAAAGAGUUGCUAAGAAACUAGAUUUAAUUGCUCUCACCACAAAAAGAAAUGAUAAUCACAUGAAGUUAUACAGCGUGUGCAUGAGCUCGCGCUGCGGUGGUCAUAGGUACUCGUUAAACUUACGCAAGGUUAUAUGUCUAUUACAUCUCGAUAAAAUUUUCUUGAACGUUUUUAAAAAGUUGCAGGUUCUAUGCCAAGGAGUAAAGAGGGUCCGACUAGAAUAUUCUGUAGGGAAUUCCAGGAAGGAAAGGGAACAGCCAAGGACCUGGAAUCCAGUGGCCUAGGAGGAAGGUGAGGGUAAGAGGCAGCAUUGCUGUUUCAGGGGAUCUGAUCCACAGGAUUUAGACACGGGCUCCUCCUCUCCAUUCCUUGAGUUCCCUCUGUUCCUUUGGAAUGAGAAUCCUCCAAGGGGACCUGGGUACUGCAGGGCCGGGGAGGGAGAAAGGGAGUGGGCAUGAGAGUGAGACCCUCCGUAACUAACCUCAACGGAGCUACCUGGCAGGAAGCCCUAACCCAGCUCAGUGUGUGCAGAAAAGCCUUACAGUAGAUCCUGGCUUAUCAUUUUUCCCAGGACCAGAAACUCAUGCUGGUAGAUAGUUACCAAGGAUUUCGGAUUAUUAAAAACAAAACAAAACCAAAAAGGAAAAAAAAAACAGCAAAAUAAAAACCCUCACAAAUCUGGAGCGGGGUGGGGUGGGGGAACAGAGACCUUGUUUUUUGUUCUUUGGAAGGACAAGAACUUGUGUAGGUUUAAAUGAGUAGAGAGAAUUUUGUAACUCAGAAAAGAUGUAAAGU
rnacentral:lncRNA from 1 species